rnacentral:rRNA from 1 species
AUACAGAGGGUGCGAGCGUUAAUCGGAAUUACUGGGCGUAAAGCGCGCGUAGGCGGUUAUUUAAGUCAGAUGUGAAAUCCCUGGGCUCAACCUAGGAACUGCAUCUGAAACUGGGUAACUAGAGUUUAGGAGAGGGGAGUAGAAUUUCGGGUGUAGCGGUGAAAUGCAUAGAGAUCCGAAGGAAUACCAGUGGCGAAGGCGACUCCCUGGCCUAGAACUGACGCUGAGGUGCGAAAGCGUGGGUAGCAAACGGGAUUAGAAACCCCAGUAGUCC